UACGGAGGGUGCAAGCGUUAUCCGGAUUCACUGGGUUUAAAGGGUGCGUAGGUGGAAUGGUAAGUCAGUGGUGAAAUCUCCAAGCUUAACUUGGAAACUGCCGUUGAUACUAUCAUUCUUGAAUAUCGUGGAGGUAAGCGGAAUAUGACAUGUAGCGGUGAAAUGCUUAGAUAUGACAUAGAACACCGAUUGCGAAGGCAGCUUGCUACACGAUCAUUGACACUGAGGCACGAAAGCGUGGGGAUCAAACAGG
rnacentral:rRNA from 1 species